rnacentral:rRNA from 1 species
AGGUAAGCUACUAAGAGCGAAUGGUGGAUGCCUUGACUGGUAAAGGCGAUGAAGGACGUACUAGACUGCGAUAAGCUACGGGGAGCUGUCAAGAAGCUUUGAUCCGUAGAUUUCCGAAUGGGGCAACCCAAUGUAUAGAGAUAUACAUUACCUAUAUAGGAGCGAACGAGGGGAAUUGAAACAUCUUAGUACCCUCAGGAAAAGAAAUCAAUAGAGAUUGCGUCAGUAGCGGCGAGCGAAAGCGCAAGAGGGCAAACCCAGUGCUUGCACUGGGGGUUGUAGGACUGCAAUGUGCAAGAGCUGAGUUUAGCAGAACAUUCUGGAAAGUAUAGCCAUAGAGGGUGAUAGUCCCGUAUGCGAAAAACAAAGCUUAGCUAGCAGUAUCCUGAGUAGGGCGGGACACGAGGAAUCCUGUCUGAAUCCGGGUCGACCACGAUCCAACCCUAAAUACUAAUACCAGAUCGAUAGUGCACAAGUACCGUGAGGGAAAGGUGAAAAGAACUGAGGUGAUCAGAGUGAAAUAGAACCUGAAACCAUUUGCUUACAAUCAUUCAGAGCCCUAUGUAGCAAUACAGGGUGAUGGACUGCCUUUUGCAUAAUGAGCCUGCGAGUUGUGGUGUCUGGCAAGGUUAAGCAAACGCGAAGCCGUAGCGAAAGCGAGUCUGAAUAGGGCGCUUAGUCAGAUGCUGCAGACCCGAAACGAAGUGAUCUAUCCAUGAGCAAGUUGAAGCUAGUGUAAGAACUAGUGGAGGACUGAACCCAUAGGCGUUGAAAAGCCCCGGGAUGACUUGUGGAUAGGGGUGAAAGGCCAAUCAAACUUCGUGAUAGCUGGUUCUCUCCGAAAUAUAUUUAGGUAUAGCGUUGUGUCGUAAUAUAAGGGGGUAGAGCACUGAAUGGGCUAGGGCAUACACCAAUGUACCAAACCCUAUCAAACUCCGAAUACCUUAUAUGUAAUCACAGCAGUCAGGCGGCGAGUGAUAAAAUCCGUCGUCAAGAGGGAAACAACCCAGACUACCAGCUAAGGUCCCUAAAUCUUACUUAAGUGGAAAACGAUGUGAAGUUACUUAAACAACCAGGAGGUUGGCUUAGAAGCAGCCAUCCUUUAAAGAAAGCGUAAUAGCUCACUGGUCUAGUGAUUUUGCGCGGAAAAUAUAACGGGGCUAAAGUAAGUACCGAAGCUGUAGACUUAGUUUACUAAGUGGUAGGAGAGCGUUCUAUUUGCGUCGAAGGUAUACCGGUAAGGAGUGCUGGAGCGAAUAGAAGUGAGCAUGCAGGCAUGAGUAGCGAUAAUUAAUGUGAGAAUCAUUAACGCCGUAAACCCAAGGUUUCCUACGCGAUGCUCGUCAUCGUAGGGUUAGUCGGGUCCUAAGUCGAGUCCGAAAGGGGUAGACGAUGGCAAAUUGGUUAAUAUUCCAAUACCAACAUUAGUGUGCGAUGGAAGGACGCUUAGGGCUAAGGGGGCUAGCGGAUGGAAGUGCUAGUCUAAGGUCGUAGGAGGUUAUACAGGCAAAUCCGUAUAACAAUACUCCGAGAACUGAAAGGCUUUUUGAAGUCUUCGGAUGGAUAGAAGAACCCCUGAUGCCGUCGAGCCAAGAAAAGUUUCUAAGUUUAGCUAAUGUUGCCCGUACCGUAAACCGACACAGGUGGGUGGGAUGAGUAUUCUAAGGCGCGUGGAAGAACUCUCUUUAAGGAACUCUGCAAAAUAGCACCGUAUCUUCGGUAUAAGGUGUGGUUAGCUUUGUAUUAGGAUUUACUCCGAAAGCAAGGAAACUUACAACAAAGAGUCCCUCCCGACUGUUUACCAAAAACACAGCACUCUGCUAACUCGUAAGAGGAUGUAUAGGGUGUGACGCCUGCCCGGUGCUCGAAGGUUAAUUGAUGGGGUUAGCAUUAGCGAAGCUCUUGAUCGAAGCCCGAGUAAACGGCGGCCGUAACUAUAACGGUCCUAAGGUAGCGAAAUUCCUUGUCGGUUAAAUACCGACCUGCAUGAAUGGCGUAACGAGAUGGGAGCUGUCUCAAAGAGGGAUCCAGUGAAAUUGUAGUGGAGGUGAAAAUUC